rnacentral:rRNA from 1 species
GACGAACGCUGGCGGCGUGCUUAACACAUGCAAGUCGAACGGAAAGGCCCUGCUUUUGUGGGGUGCUCGAGUGGCGAACGGGUGAGUACACGUGAGUUACCUGCCCUUGGAUUUGGGAUAAAUUCAAGAAACUGGGGCUAAUACCGGAUAGGAGCUCCUGCUGCAUGGGGGGGGGUGGGAAGUUUCGGCGGUUGGGGAUGGACUCGCGGCUUAUCAGCUUGUUGGUGGGGUAGUGGCUUACCAAGGCUUUGACGGGUAGCCGGCCUGAGAGGGUGACCGGCCACAUUGGGACUGAGAUACGGCCCAGACUCCUACGGGAGGCAGCAGUGGGGAAUAUUGCACAAUGGGCGGAAGCCUGAUGCAGCAACGCCGCGUGCGGGAUGACGGCCUUCGGGUUGUAAACCGCUUUCGCCUGUGACGAAGCGUGAGUGACGGUAAUGGGUAAAGAAGCACCGGCUAACUACGUG